AAUCAACGCUGGCGGCGUGCCUAACACAUGCAAGUCGAGCGGGAAAGGGGGCUUCGGUCCCUGAGUAUAGCGGCGGACGGGUGAGUAACACGUGGGUAAUUUGCCCUUGGGUGUGGAAUAACUCAGGGAAACUUGAGCUAAUACCGCAUGACAUCCCCUUCUCACAGGAGUUGGGGAUCAAAGCCGGGGACCCUUCGGGGCCUGGCGCCUGAGGAGAAGCCCGCGCCCGAUUAGCUAGUUGGNGAGGUAAUGGCUCACCAAGGCUUCGAUCGGUAGCCGGCCUGAGAGGGCGGACGGCCACACUGGGACUGAGACACGGCCCAGACUCCUACGGGAGGCAGCAGUAAGGAAUAUUGCGCAAUGGGCGAAAGCCUGACGCAGCGACGCCGCGUGGGGGAUGAAGGUCUUCGGA
rnacentral:rRNA from 1 species